CUGACAAACCGAAACCAGAACAAUAAAAUGUUCCUGAAUUUGCUUCUCCACUGACUUCCUCAGCCCCAGAUGGGCUGUGGCCAGCUUGACAGACAAGCAUUCUGCCCUCGGUGGAAUUCUUGUUGCAACAAGUAAUUUUUUUUUUAACCACAUCAUAUCAUUUUUGGGCUGAGGUUUUAAAAUCAAAGAUGGGAAAAUCGGAGAAAAUUUCCCCUCCCCAUAGCCAGCUUGUGCAUGGUAUACACUUGUGUGAACAACCAAAGAUAAGCAGACAGAAAAGCAAAUUUAACUUGCCACUAACCAAGAUCACCUCUGCAAAAAGGAAUGAAAAUGACUUUUGGCAAGAUUCCGCUUCCUCUGAUAGAAUGCAGAAGCAGGAAAAAAAGCCUCUGAAAAAUACUGAGAACAUUAAGAAUAACCAUUUGAAGAAAUCAGCAUUUCUAACAGAAGGGAGCCAAAAGGAAAAUUACGCCGGAGCCAAGUUCAGCGACCCACCGUCCCCUAGUGUCCUCCCAAAGCCUCCGAGUCACUGGAUGGGAAGUACCACUGAGAAUCCCAGCCAGAGCCGGGAGCUGAUGGCAGUGCACUUGAAAACGCUCCUCAAAGUGCAGACCUAGGCUCCAGUCUGCAGUGUGUAUUAGACACAGAUUCCCCCGCAUCCUCGGACUGAAGGAAGUGGAUACGGCAGUGGAAAUUUGCCGUAUCGCAGCAUCCGACACAAUGAGCUUAUGUCACACAAGCAGCUUGUAUUAUAUUUUGUAUUUUGUAAAUACUGUAUACCAUGUAUUAUGUGUAUAUUGUUCAUACUUGAGAGGUACAUUAUAGUUUU
rnacentral:lncRNA from 1 species